rnacentral:rRNA from 1 species
CUAAACUGAGGAAAGUCGGCCGAAACUGAUCGACUCGAGGAACGUAGAGGGAAGCGGAACUCUCGGAGUAGCGGUGAAAUGCGUAGAGACCGAGAGGUACCCCGAUGGUGAAGACAGCUUCCUGGGCGUUUCCUGACGCUGAAGCACUAAGGCCAGGGGAGCGAAGGGGAUUAGAUACCCCCGUAGUCCUGGCUUCAAACGAUGUGGGCUUGGUGUCGGCCCCCGACAGAGGGUCGUUGCCGGAGCUAACGUGUUAAGCCCACCGCCUGGGGAUUACGUCCGCAAGGAUGAAACUCAAGGGAAUUGACGGGGGCCCACACAACCGGUGGAGCACGUGGUUUAAUUUGAUGAUAAGCGAAGAACCUUACCAGUGUUUGACCUAGCGGUAGUAGGAUCCUGAAAGGGAAACGACCUCAAGCUUUGCUU